AGGUCGUGAUGUGGACACUACGCUAUAAGUUUUUGUAUCUCUCCCAUGCCUCAGACAAUGAUUCACCCUCAAAUUGGACGAAGGUAGUAAUAUCAUUCCUUAAUUU